rnacentral:rRNA from 1 species
CCUGGGGAGUACGGCCGCAAGGUUAAAACUCAAAUGAAUUGACGGGGGCCCGCACAAGCGGUGGAGCAUGUGGUUUAAUUCGAUGCAACGCGAAGAACCUUACCUGGUCUUGACAUCCACAGAACUUUCCAGAGAUGGAUUGGUGCCUUCGGGAACUGUGAGACAGGUGCUGCAUGGCUGUCGUCAGCUCGUGUUGUGAAAUGUUGGGUUAAGUCCCGCAACGAGCGCAACCCUUAUCCUUUGUUGCCAGCGGUCC